GCACAGCUUGUUUCAGUUGGUAGAGCAUGUGACUCUUGAUCUCAGGGUCAUGGGUUCAAGCCCCAUGUUGGGUA
rnacentral:tRNA from 1 species